UGAGUUUUGCUCAUGUUCUAAAUACAACUACCCAGUCAGCAAAGGCGUCUGGCCCGGAUUCGGCAUGAAGUUGGCACAGCUGGCCUUGAGUCGGCACUGGCAUAAUGCAUGUGGGCCAAACACGGCCCAGGAGUGGCAAAGGAGGCACUGGGUUGGGUCCGGCAAACCAGAUGAGGGCCAGUUGUGGAGUGAAGUAUUUGGGCCAGAAAUCAAUUUACAACUCGGGCCUGUAUAUGGCCAGCCAGUAUUGAGCCACCCUUAAAUGCAGUUUCAGAUUUAUUUUUUCAACACACAGCCUUGUUUUACAAUUGCACACCGAUUUUCUUUAUAAAUCUUGUUUAAUCAUUAAGUGCAUUGCGAUAUUUUUCAAUACCAAUUAUUUGUUAAAGUUUGUACAAUCAAUGGGAUCAGUUGCAAUGCAUUUAUUGGAAUGAUAAAGGUAAAUUGCACAUUUGUUGAAGGAAAUGGAAGGUGCUUCAUGAAUUUUUUUGUAAAACAUAUGUUCAUUAAAUGUCAACAUUUUCCAAAUGUUCUUGUGCUUCUUUAUACCAAAACAAAGGAAAGACAUGUUGUUUUGGUUCUUUAUAGCAAAGUAUGGUAUCAUUUUAAUGUAAGGUGUUUUUAGCCGAAAAAAACGACCAUGUAUAGUAAGGCGUUUUUAGGCGAAAAAAAACCACCAUGUAUAGUAAGGCGUUUUUAGAUGAAAAAAAACGACCAUGUAUAGUAAGGCGUUUUUAGAUGAAAAAAAACGACCAUGUAUAGUAAGGCGUUUUUAGAUGAAAAAAAACGACCAGGUAUAGUAAGGCGUUUUUGGACGAAAAAAACGACCAUGUAUAGUAAGGCAUUUUUGGACGAAAAAAAACGACCAUGUAUAGUAAGGCGUUUUUAGCCGAAAAAAAACGACCAUGUAUAGUAAGGCGUUUUUCGACGAAAAAAAACGACCAUGUAUAGUAAGGCGUUUUUAGCCGGAAAAAAACGACCAUGUAUAGUAAGGCGUUUUUAGAUGAAAAAAAACGACCAUGUAUAGUAAGGCGUUUUUAGAUGAAAAAAAACGACCAGGUAUAGUAAGGCGUUUUUGGACGAAAAAAACGACCAUGUAUAGUAAGGCAUUUUUGGACGAAAAAAAACGACCAUGUAUAGUAAGGCGUUUUUAGCCGAAAAAAAAACGACCAUGUAUAGUGAGGCGUUUUUGGACGAAAAAAACGACCAUGUAUAGUAAGGCGUUUUUGGACGAAAAAAACGACCAUGUAUAGUAAGGCGUUUUUAGCCGAAAAAACGACCAUGUAUAGUAAGGCCUUUUUGGACGAAAAAAACGACCAUGUAUAUAAGGCGUUUUUAGCCGAAAAAACGACCAUGUAUAGUAAGGCCUUUUUGGACGAAAAAAACGACCAUGUAUAGUAAGGCGUUUUUAGCCGAAAAAAAAACGACCAUGUAUAGUGAGGCGUUUUUGGACGAAAAAAACGACCAUGUAUAGUAAGGCGUUUUUGGACGAAAAAAACGACCAUGUAUAGUAAGGCGUUUUUAGCCGAAAAAACGACCAUGUAUAGUAAGGCCUUUUUGGACGAAAAAAACGACCAUGUAUAUAAGGCGUUUUUAGCCGAAAAAACGACCAUGUAUAGUAAGGCCUUUUUGGACGAAAAAAACGACCAUGUAUAGUAAGGCGUUUUUGGACGAAAAAAAACGACCAUGUAUAGUAAGGCAUUUUUGGACGAAAAAAAACGACCAUGUAUAGUAAGGCGUUUUUAGCCGAAAAAAAAACGACCAUGUAUAGUGAGGUGUUUUUGGACGA